rnacentral:rRNA from 1 species
AUUGAACGCUGGCGGCAGGCCUAACACAUGCAAGUCGAACGAGUGGCGGACGGGUGAGUACUGUCUGGGAAACUGCCCGAUGGAGGGGGAUAACUACUGGAAACGGUAGCUCAUACCGCAUACCAUCGGAUGUGCCCAGAGGGGAUUAGCUAGUGGGUGGGGUAACGGCUCACAUAGGCGACGAUCCCUAGCUGGUCUGAGAGGAUGACCAGCCACACUGGAACUGAGACACGGUCCAGACUCCUACGGGAGGCAGCAGUGGGGAAUAUUGGACAAUGGGCGCAAGCCUGAUGCAGCCAUGCCGCGUGUAUGAAGAAGGUCUUCGGGUUGUAAAGUACUUUCAGCGAGGAGGCGUUACCAGCAGAAGAAGCACCGGCUAACUCCGUGCCAGCAGCCGCGGUAAUUC